rnacentral:rRNA from 1 species
GACGAACGCUGGCGGCGUGCUUAACACAUGCAAGUCGAACGGCGACCCUCUUCGGAGGUGCUCAUUCGCGAACGGGUGGGCAACACGUUGGCAACCUGCCCCCGGCUCUGGGUUACCUCCAAGAUAUCGGGGCUAAUAUCGCGCUUUCACCGCUUCCCGCAUGGGUGGUGGUGGAAAGGGUCUUCGGCUGUUGCUGGGCUCGCGGCCUAUCUGCCUGUUGGUGGGGUAGUGGCCUACCAAGCCAACGACGGGUACCCGACAUGGGAGGGGGACCGGGCACAAUGGGCCUGAGAGACGGACCAGACGCGAACGGGAGGCAGCGGUGGGGAAUAUUGCGCAACGAGCGGAAGCCUGACGAAGCGACGCCGCGUGGGGGAUGACGGCCUUCGGGUAGUAAAAAUCUUUCAGCUGAGACGACGCGGUAGUGACGGUACCUGCAGAAGAAGCACCGGCUAACUACGUG